CCCUAGGUCCCAUGCCAGCAAGUGCCCGGUUGCUACAGAGGUGACAGGGCACAUUGGGAAGAAGGCUUGUUGAUUGCAGAAGACACUUAAGUCCCGUGUUUCCAGGUAAAUCUUUCUGUUCAUGAAUCUACAGUUUCCAGAGUCUUCCCAGCAUUUCUUCUAUGUCCACGGAACCUGGCAUCUUUGUAUUACAUCAAGAAGAGGGAGAGAGUCAAGCAUUGAACUCUAGUCUGUCAUGUUGUGAAGCCACCAACAGGCAAUGGUUACAUUUUUCUCCUGAAAGCUACUGCUCUGGUAAAAACAACCUAGAUGUGUGUGCCCUGCAUCACCUAAGCAGCAAGCACCAGGAUGAGGUGGAGAGAUCAGCCUUCCACUUGGGAAAGCUGAACCAGAACAAUGGCUCCAGGACCAGGUCUUCCACAUCUGGUGUCUGCAAAACUUUGGGUCAUGGUAAAGGUAAUGAAGGGCUAAAUUACCUCUCAGUUCUGUUGUAAUGCCAGCAUUAAUAUAUCUGUGAUGUUCAGAAUUCCCCCAGGCCUAAAAACAUUACAGAAAUAAAAAUGUGGAUGGUUCUUUGUUCCUAAAUGUUAUUCUCAGUGUGUACUUUGCUAAGAAGGAAAGAAAGGGGAAACAGAGGGAAGAAAAGCCCUCAUUCCACAAUCUCCCAGAAGGGAGUUACAACCCUGCCUGAUGUGGUAAAUUGUAGGAGCUGUGGGAAUAAGGAUG